rnacentral:rRNA from 1 species
UACACUCCUGCGGGAGGCAGCAGUGGGGAAUAUUGCACAAUGGGCGCAAGCCUGAUGCAGCCAUGCCGCGUGUAUGAAGAAGGCCUUCGGGUUGUAAAGUACUUUCAGCGGGGAGGAAGGCGAUAAGGUUAAUAACCUUGUUGAUUGACGUUACCCGCAGAAGAAGCACCGGCUAACUCCGUGCCAGCAGCCGCGGUAAUACGGAGGGUGCAAGCGUUAAUCGGAAUUACUGGGCGUAAAGCGCACGCAGGCGGUCUGUCAAGUCGGAUGUGAAAUCCCCGGGCUCAACCUGGGAACUGCAUUCGAAACUGGCAGGCUAGAGUCUUGUAGAGGGGGGUAGAAUUCCAGGUGUAGCGGUGAAAUGCGUAGAGAUCUGGAGGAAUACCGGUGGCGAAGGCGGCCCCCUGGACAAAGACUGACGCUCAGGUGCGAAAGCGUGGGGAGCAAACAGGAUUAGAUACCCUUGUAGUCC